UUCUUGAACCCACAGAGAUCCACCUGCCUCCUGAGUACUGGGAUUUAUGGUCCCCUGAAGGAUUCUUCCAGUAUCUGAGUUGUUACGAGUGAGCUGUAGCCCACAAGUUUCCACAAGGGGGAAAGCUGUUAACACCAAAGACUUCAAAUUCAAAGACUGUUCUCUGUUCCCUUCCUCUCUCAAACAAGAACAGCAGGUGGAUGAAGCAUGCCUGUAAUUCCAGCAUUCAGGAGGUCAGUCUAGGGUACAGUCUAAGCCGCUGUCUCAAAAAGUCACCAACAACAAAGAUGCCAGGAAGUUCUUGUUGUUGUUUCGAUGCACUAAUUUUUUAACAGGGAAAAACAACAAAACAAAACAAAGAGCCAGGCUUGGUAGCACACACCUUUGAUUCCAGCACCUGGGAGACAGGCAAGAAGAUGGCUCUCUGUGAGCUCUAGACCAGCCAGGUUAUAUGAGAAUUGUUUUUUAGGAGAUGACCCAGUGGGUAAGAGCAUUUGCAGCAGGGGCAUGAAGACCCGAGUUCACGCCCCACAAACCAACACAAGUGCCUAUACUACAAGCCUGUGCCACCACACCCUGGCCAGCUAGUCCCUUAGGUCUGCCUACUCCUCCUACCAUCCUGGUUGGCCACAAUCCUCCUAACUCAGGUCUGAAACAUUCACUCACAUUUUAGCAUAAAAUAUAAAUUCCUUUCUUUUUUUCUUUUGAGACAGGGUCUCAUAGAGCUAGGCUGGUCUUAAAGCCAUUACAUAGUGAACCCAGAACUUCUGCUUCCAUCUCCCCAGUGCCAGAAGCACAGGCAAACACCUGUGAUUCCUAUACAUACCUAGCCAAAAUUCUUUUGGGGGGGGAAUUGAAUUUAGGGUCUUGAGCAUGCUAAGCAAAUGUUCUAUCCAGAGCUACAUCCCAUCCCUAACCCAAAAUCUUAGCAUGAUACUAAGAAUUCCCUAUUGGGGCUGGAGAGAUGGCUCGGUGGUUA
rnacentral:lncRNA from 1 species